GUUUACAGCCAUGCCACCCUGAACAUGCCUGAUCUCAUCUGCUCUUAGAAGCUAAGCAGGGUCAGGCCUGGUUAGGACUUGGGUGGGAGCCCACCUGGGAAUACCGGGUGCUGUCAGCU
rnacentral:rRNA from 1 species